rnacentral:rRNA from 1 species
AUUGAACGCUGGCGGCAGGCCUAACACAUGCAAGUCGAACGGUAACAGGAAGAAGCUUGCCUCUUUGCUGACGAGUGGCGGACGGGUGAGUAAUGUCUGGGAAACUGCCUGAUGGAGGGGGAUAACUACUGGAAACGGUAGCUAAUACCGCAUAACGUCGCAAGACCAAAGAGGGGGACCUUCGGGCCUCUUGCCAUCGGAUGUGCCCAGAUGGGAUUAGCUAGUAGGUGGGGUAACGGCUCACCUAGGCGACGAUCCCUAGCUGGUCUGAGAGGAUGACCAGCCACACUGGAACUGAGACACGGUCCAGACUCCUACGGGAGGCAGCAGUGGGGAAUAUUGCACAAUGGGCGCAAGCCUGAUGCAGCCAUGCCGCGUGUAUGAAGAAGGCCUUCGGGUUGUAAAGUACUUUCAGCGGGGAGGAAGGGAGUAAAGUUAAUACCUUUGCUCAUUGACGUUACCCGCAGAAGAAGCACCGGCUAACUCCGUG